rnacentral:rRNA from 1 species
UGGCUCAGAGCGAACGCUGGCGGCAGGCCUAACACAUGCAAGUCGAGCGCCCAGCAAUGGGAGCGGCAGACGGGUGAGUAACACGUGGGGAUCUACCCAAUGGUACGGAAUAACCCAGGGAAACUUGGAUUAAUACCGUAUGUGCCCUUCGGGGGAAAGAUUUAUCGCCAUUGGAUGAACCCGCGUCGGAUUAGCUAGUUGGUGAGGUAAAGGCUCACCAAGGCGACGAUCCGUAGCUGGUCUGAGAGGAUGAUCAGCCACACUGGGACUGAGACACGGCCCAGACUCCUACGGGAGGCAGCAGUGGGGAAUAUUGGACAAUGGGCGCAAGCCUGAUCCAGCCAUGCCGCGUGUGUGAUGAAGGCCUUAGGGUUGUAAAGCAC